UAUCUUUGUGCCGAAAAGAUAUGGCAAAUAGGAAAGCACCAGUUACUGAUAAGAACACAUAUUCCACUUUUUAGUUGCUUUGAUUUUCCUAUGUGUACUUCCUUUUCUUAUUAUCUUUUUAAUUAUUAUUCAGAGAAAGGGUUCGUGUUGUAGAAGGAUAGAAUAUAGGUUUUCUGAUGGACUAUGCUUUCUAUUAUGUGAUAAAGUGGGAUCUGAAUAUUAGCUGAAGCUUUCGUGCUCAUAGAAGCUUUCGUUCCAUCUGUGUAUACAUUUCAGCAUGUAUAAAUCUCUUUAUAUUAGUUAGCAUUUUUUUUCUUGUCAUUCGAAUAAUCACCAUACUAUUUUCAGCCCUGACGGAAUCCAUUUUACGGAGUUUCUUCUCUUUGUAGCUUUGGAAUAUAUAAUAAGGUGAAUGGUGCAAAAUAUGGUCGUGUAAAAACAAUUUGAUUUUCUCGGCUGCCAAAACUGUGGGGUUUGCUGUCUCUUAGCAUUGUCUUUAGAGGUAUAACAAAUAUUAAUUCGGAACGUCAACAUCUAUACCGCACAUACCAACAUUGAGGUUGCCAAGGUUCUUCGCCUCUGUGGUCCUUUCCUCAGGGCUAAUGCACGCUGUCCAAGAAUUUUGAGGCUCGUGCUCAAGUUCGUGGUCCACCUCUGGUUCCAUGUUUCUCUGAAGUUCGUGUUAUUUUGAUUUGGCUGUGCAAAACAAAUUAUACUAGCUUAGCUGAAUGUAUUGUCUAGCUUCUCAUUUGCCAAGGUCACCAUGAUUGAUGCAUUUAGGUGACUGAAUUCAUAUUAAUAUCCUUUGUCCCUGGAGAGAUCAAGACAUAGUAUCAUGAGUAAUGAUUCAGUUCAUAGCAACACCCAGCCUGUAAGUGCCUGUUUCCCUUCUAUAAGUCUUUUCUUUUGUAAAUUUCUCUUGGUCGACAUGACUUCCAGGCUUCAUGUUUUUUGAGGUGCAUCCGUAUUGCAGUCAUUACUCUUCUGAUAUGUCAAAUUUAAUUGACCCUUUUCUGUUGUUCCUUUUCUACAAGUGAUCAUGUGCAAACUAUUUCUUGAUAAAAGGAGGAAUCAGACUCUAAUUGUCUCUUGCUAUUGUACUGAUUAGAGAUAUGUACGUUGCAAAAGAACACCAUAUAUUGGGUCUUAUCCUAUGGUAGGUUUGUAGAUUUAUUAGAUGACUAUUGGGGAAUAGCAUAGGAAGACCCUGGACAUUCAGAAUUGAAGAAAUCAUACUUUGGGUUGAAGAAACUUCUAAAGAAGACCAAGAGCGCUGAAGAUAAUGCUGCCCAAGAGUAAGUUACGUGUGGCUGGUAGCAAUCCCGGCCAUGCUUUGUACAACGGACAUCUUUAUCUU